UCGUUAGUAUAGUGGUUAGUAUUCCCACCUGUCACGCGGGCAACCGGGGUUCGAUUCCCCGCCUAGGAG
rnacentral:tRNA from 1 species